AUGGUGAACACACCGGUGUUGGCCCUUCCUGAUUUCAAUUGCCCGUUCUGGAUCGAGACCGAUGCGUGUGACACAGGCAUAGGAGCAGUCUUAGUACAGGAUAGUCACCCAGUUGCUUAUCUUAGCAAAGCCCUGGGUGUUCGCAAUCAACGUCUCUCCAUCUACGAGAAAGAAUUUCUCACUGUGAUGAUGGCCGUGGAGAAGUGGCGUCCAUAUCUCCAGCUCGCCCCAUUCGUCAUUGUCACUGAUCACAAAAGCUUGUGUCACCUCGAUGAUCAACAGCUUGAAACAGAGCUCCAACACAAGGCGAUGUCUAAAAUGGUGGGGCUUCAGUUUUCAUUCAAAUAUAGGCGUGGCCCGGACAAUGGCGCGGCGGAUGCGCUAUCCCGAGUCGGUCACCUGCUCUCAGUAGAUGCUUUGACGGUUUGCCAACCACACUGGCUUCAAGAAGUUGCAAAUUCCUACGAAACUGACAUGGACAGUCAAGAUUUGCUCCAACGUUUGGCAUUGAACAAUCCAGAUGAUCAGGGGUAUGAACUGCGACAAGGAGUGAUUCGUUGUCACGGCAAGCUUUGGAUAGGUGCCAACACCGCACUACAGACUAAGUUGACCAGUGCAUUUCAUGCCAGUGCAAUUGGUGGCCAUUCUGGUGUUACUGCAACCUAUCAGCGCAUCAAGAAACUGUUUGCUUGGAAGGGUCUCAAAGCUGCAGUCGAAGAUUUCAUGCGCCAAUGUUCCGUUUGUCGGCAUGCAAAACAUGAACACCUGAAGACAUCAGGCUUAUUACAGCCACUUCCCAUACCAACAGAACCUUAG
rnacentral:rRNA from 1 species